rnacentral:rRNA from 1 species
AUUGAACGCUGGCGGCAGGCCUAACACAUGCAAGUCGAACGAGUGGCGGACGGGUGAGUAAUGUCUGGGAAACUGCCUGAUGGAGGGGGGUAACUACUGGAAACGGUAGCUAAUAACGCAUACCAUCGGAUUUGCCCAGAUGGGAUUAGCUGGUAGGUGGGGUAAAGGCUCACCUAGGCGAUGAUCCCGAGCUGGUAUGAUAGGAGGACCAGCCACACUGGAACUGAGAACCGGUCCAGACUCCUACGGGAGGCAGCAGGGGGGAAUAUUGCACAAUGGGCGCAAGCCUGAUGCAGCAAUGUCGCGUGUAUGAAGAAGGCCUUCGGGUUGUAAAGUACUUUCAGCGGGGAGGCGUUACCCGCAGAAGAAGCACCGGCUAACUCCGUGCCAGCAGCCGCGGUAAUUC